rnacentral:rRNA from 1 species
UACGGAGGGUGCAAGCGUUAAUCGGAAUUACUGGGCGUAAAGCGCACGCAGGCGGUCUGUCAAGUCGGAUGUGAAAUCCCCGGGCUCAACCUGGAACUGCAUUCGAAACUGGCAGGCUAGAGUCUUGUAGAGGGGGGUAGAAUUCCAGGUGUAGCGGUGAAAUGCGUAGAGAUCUGGAGGAAUACCGGUGGCGAAGGCGGCCCCCUGGACAAAGACUGACGCUCAGGUGCGAAAGCGUGGGGAGCAAACAGGAUUAGAAACCCCCGUAGUCC